rnacentral:rRNA from 1 species
GUGGGGAAUCUUAGACAAUGGGGGAAACCCUGAUCUAGCCAUGCCGCGUGAGCGAUGAAGGCCUUAGGGUUGUAAAGCUCUUUCAGCUGGGAAGAUAAUGACGGUACCAGCAGAAGAAGCCCCGGCUAACUCCGUGCCAGCAGCCGCGGUAAUACGGAGGGGGCUAGCGUUGUUCGGAAUUACUGGGCGUAAAGCGCGCGUAGGCGGACCAGAAAGUUGGAGGUGAAAUCCCAGGGCUCAACCUUGGAACUGCCUUCAAAACUUCUGGUCUGGAGUUCGAGAGAGGUGAGUGGAAUUCCGAGUGUAGAGGUGAAAUUCGUAGAUAUUCGGAGGAACACCAGUGGCGAAGGCGGCUCACUGGCUCGAUACUGACGCUGAGGUGCGAAAGCGUGGGGAGCAAACAGGAUUAGAUACCCCGGUAGUCC